rnacentral:rRNA from 1 species
GAUGAACGCUGACAGAAUGCUUAACACAUGCAAGUCUUUGGCGAAGCUGUGCUUGCACAGCCUAGCCAAGGCGGACGGGUGAGUAACGCGUAAGGAACUUGCCCUGCAGUCAGGGAUAACAGACGGAAACGACUGAUAAGACCUGGUAAAGUCAGGCGGACUCAUGUCCAGCCUGAUGAAAAGAGAUGCUGCAGGAGAGCCUUGCGUCCUAUUAGCUUGUUGGUGGGGUAACGGCCCACCAAGGCGAUGAUAGGUAGCCGGCCUGAGAGGGUGGACGGCCACAAGGGGACUGAGAUACGGCCCUUACUCCUACGGGAGGCAGCAGUGGGGAAUAUUGGACAAUGGGGGCAACACUGAUCCAGAAAUUCUGUGUGCACGAUGAAGGUUUUCGGAGUGUAAAGUGCUUUCAGCAGGGAAGAAAAAAAUGACGGUACCUGCAGAAGAAGCGACGGCUAAAUACGUG